UGGGGAAUUUUGGACAAUGGGCGAAAGCCUGAUCCAGCAAUGCCGCGUGUGUGAAGAAGGCCUUCGGGUUGUAAAGCACUUUUGUCCGGAAAGAAAUCCUUGGCUCUAAUACAGUCGGGGGAUGACGGUACCGGAAGAAUAAGCACCGGCUAACUACGUGCCAGCAGCCGCGGUAAUACGUAGGGUGCAAGCGUUAAUCGGAAUUACUGGGCGUAAAGCGUGCGCAGGCGGUUUGCUAAGACCGAUGUGAAAUCCCCGGGCUCAACCUGGGAACUGCAUUGGUGACUGGCAGGCUAGAGUAUGGCAGAGGGGGGUAGAAUUCCACGUGUAGCAGUGAAAUGCGUAGAGAUGUGGAGGAAUACCGAUGGCGAAGGCAGCCCCCUGGGCCAAUACUGACGCUCAUGCACGAAAGCGUGGGAGCAAACAGGAUUAGAUACCCUGGUAGUCCACGCCCUAAACGAUGUCAACUAGUUGUUGGGGAUUCAUUCCUUAGUAACGUAGCUAACGCGUGAAGUUGACCGCCUGGGGAGUACGGUCGCAAGAUUAAAACUCAAAUGAAUUGACGGGGUCAUAGCUG
rnacentral:rRNA from 1 species